AGUGACACAGAAGAAGUUAAAAGCGAAACAUAAGAAACCGUAUUCGAAGUGACUACGAAUCAUUGAUUUGUAUAAAAGAAGCAAUAUUUUGGGAUCUGCACCCCAAUACGUAGCAGUUAAAGAUCUUAAGACAUUGAGAGCUUUGUUGGAUUUAAUAAGAAAUUGACGAUCCACUGAACUAAUUUCUUUGGCAAUCCAAUUGAUGACAACUCAAUGGCAA